GAUGAACGCUGGCGGCGUGCCUAAUACAUGCAAGUCGAGCGAACAGACGAGAGUGCUUGCUCUCUCUGACGUUAGCGGCGGACGGGUGAGUAACACGUGGGUAACCUACCUAUAAGACUGGGAUAACUUCGGGAAACCGGAGCUAAUACCGGAUAAUAUUUAGCUUCGCAUGAAGCAAUAGUGAAAGACGGUUCUGCUGUCUCUUACAGAUGGACCCGCGGUGUAUUAGCUGGUUGGUGAGGUAACGGCUCACCAAGGCAACGAUACAUAGCCGACCUGAGAGGGUGAUCAGCCACACUGGGACUGAGACACGGCCCAGACUCCUACGGGAGGCAGCAGUAGGGAAUCUUCCGCAACGGACGAAAGUCUGACGGAGCAAUGCCGCGUGAGUGAAGAAGGUUUUCGGAUCGUAAAACUCUGUUGUAAGGGAAGAACAAGUACGUUAGUAACUGAACGUACCUUGACGGUACCUUACCAGAAAGCCACGGCUAACUACGUG
rnacentral:rRNA from 1 species